rnacentral:rRNA from 1 species
AGCAGUAGCCGCGGGAAUACGGAGGGAGCUAGCGUUGUUCGGAAUUACUGGGCGUAAAGCGCACGUAGGCGGCUUUGUAAGUUAGAGGUGAAAGCCUGGAGCUCAACUCCAGAAUUGCCUUUAAGACUGCAUCGCUUGAAUCCGGGAGAGGUGAGUGGAAUUCCGAGUGUAGAGGUGAAAUUCGUAGAUAUUCGGAAGAACACCAGUGGCGAAGGCGGCUCACUGGACCGGCAUUGACGCUGAGGUGCGAAAGCGUGGGGAGCAAACAGGAUUAGAUACCCCAGUAGUUCCUGUCUCUUAUAA